rnacentral:rRNA from 1 species
AACGAACGCUGGCGGCAUGCUUAACACAUGCAAGUCGAACGAGACGUUCCGGCUUAGUGGCGCCCGGGUUCGUGACGCGUGGGAACCUGCCCUUAGGUUCUGAAUAACUCCCCGAAAGGGGUGCUAAUACCUGAUAAUGUCAUCGGACUAAAGAUUUGUCGCCUUUGGAUGGGCCUGCGUUGGUUUGGUAGGUGGUAGGGUAAAAGCCUACCAAGGCGACGAUCCAUAGCUGGUCUGUGAAGAUGGUCAGUCACACUGGGACUGAGACACGGCCCAGACUCGUACGGGAGGCAGCGGUGGGGGAUAUUGGAGAGUGAGCGAAAGCCUGAUCCAGCAAUGCGGCGUGAGUGGUGAAGGGGUUAGGAUUGUAAAGCUCUUUUGCCCGAGAUGAUAGUGACAGUACCGGGAGAAGAAGCUCCGGCUAACUACGUG